rnacentral:piRNA from 1 species
AAAUAGAAUUCUCAUGUUGAAGGA